AAACCGUUCAGGGGUAAACCUGAGAAACCCGAAAGAUUCGAACGGGGAGAUUCAUCGUCAGCGGCGCUGGCUUCGCGUCGGUGGGCGAUGUCCCGCGGUGCCGCCUCGUCGCGGCUCCCGCGCGGGCACGCUACCGUGCGCCGAUGUCCGGCGAACGUCGUCGUGCACUUCUCCCCUAGUAGGACGUCGCGACCCGCUGGGUGUCGGUCUACGGCCCGGGGCUGAGGUGACUGCCGCGCGCGGCACGUCAAACUGCUCGCGCGGCAAACUCCCGGUCGCCCGGCCGACUGCCCGGCGGUAUACGCAACGGUAUCAGGCCGCGCCUCGCGCGCGUCGAGCUCGUCGCAAGCGAGCGCCACGGUACCCGGAGGUACGGACCUAGCGCCGUCCCCGGUCCUGGCCCGCUGCUGGCAGCCUCGUACGGUGUAACCUUCGACCGGCCUCGAGUCCCGCGCGUCCCCGUAACAGGGGCCGCGCGCGGAGGGAUACCGGUCGGCGACGCUACUGCUUUGGGUACUCUCAGGA
rnacentral:rRNA from 1 species